GGACCCGCACAAGCGGUGGAGCAUGUGGUUUAAUUCGAUGCAACGCGAAGAACCUUACCUGGUCUUGACAUCCUCGGAACUUGUCAGAGAUGACUUGGUGCCUUCGGGAACCGAGAGACAGGUGCUGCAUGGCUGUCGUCAGCUCGUGUCGUGAGAUGUUGGGUUAAGUCCCGCAACGAGCGCAACCCUUGUCCCUAGUUGCCAUCAUUCAGUUGGGCACUCUAGGGAGACCGCCGGUGACAAAUCGGAGGAAGGUGGGGACGACGUCAAGUCAUCAUGGCCCUUAUGACCAGGGCUACACACGUGCUACAAUGGCCAGUACAGAGGGUUGCCAACCCGCAAGGGGGAGCUAAUCCCAGAAAGCUGGUCGUAGUCCAGAUCGGAGUCUGCAACUCGACUCCGUGAAGUCGGAAUCGCUAGUAAUCGCGAAUCAGCAUUGUCGCGGUGAAUACGUUCCCGGGUCUU
rnacentral:rRNA from 1 species